AUUGAACGCUGGCGGCAUGCUUUACACAUGCAAGUCGAACGGUAACAGGCCGCAAGGUGCUGACGAGUGGCGAACGGGUGAGUAAUGCAUCGGAACGUGCCCAGUCGUGGGGGAUAACUAUCCGAAAGGAUAGCUAAUACCGCAUACGAUCUGCGGAUGAAAGCGGGGGACCUUCGGGCCUCGCGCGAUUGGAGCGGCCGAUGUCAGAUUAGGUAGUUGGUGGGGUAAAGGCUCACCAAGCCAACGAUCUGUAGCUGGUCUGAGAGGACGACCAGCCACACUGGGACUGAGACACGGCCCAGACUCCUACGGGAGGCAGCAGUGGGGAAUUUUGGACAAUGGGCGCAAGCCUGAUCCAGCAAUGCCGCGUGCAGGAAGAAGGCCUUCGGGUUGUAAACUGCUUUUGUACGGAACGAAACGGCUCUGGUUAAUACCUGGGGCUAAUGACGGUACCGUAAGAAUAAGCACCGGCUAACUACGUGCCAGCCGCCGCCGUAA
rnacentral:rRNA from 1 species